GGGAGCUCAAGCAGGAGAGGCUCCAUCUCUGGAGGAGGAAGCUCAGGUCAUGGAGGAUCCAGUUAUGGCAGUGGUGGAUCCAUCUGUGGAGGAGAAGGAGGCUCAGGGUAUGGAGGGAGCUCUGGAUACGGAGGAGGCUCCGGGUAUGGAGGCAGCUCAGGCAGGAGAGGUUCCAUCUCUGGAGGAGGAAGCUCAGGUCACAUAGGAUCGAGUUCUGGUGGGUGCAUUGGAGGAGGAGAAGGAGGUUCAGAGUGUGGAGGAACCUCUGGAUAUGGAGGAGGCUCUGGGUAUGGAGGGAGCUCUGGAUAUGGAGGAGGCUCUGGAUAUGGAAGCAGUUCUGGAUAUGGAGGCAGCUCAGGCAGGAGAGGUUCCAUCUCUGGAGGAGGAGGAAGCUCAGGUCAUGGAGGAUCCAGUUA